rnacentral:rRNA from 1 species
UUGGAGGGCAAGUCUGGUGCCGGCAGCCGCGGUAAUUCCAGCUCCAAUAGCGUAUAUUAAAGUUGUUGCAGUUAAAAAGCUCGUAGUUGAACUUCGGGAUCAAUGGAUCGGUCAUGCCGUUGGUAUGUACUGGUCACAUUGGUUCUCACCUUCUAAGGAACCAUGAUGUCAUUCAUUUGAUGUUGUGGGGAAUUAGGACUGUUACCUUGAAAAAAUUAGAGUGUUUAAAGCAGGCUAACGCUUGAAUACAUUAGCAUGGAAUAAUGAAAUAGGACAUCGCAUUCUAUUUUGUUGGUUUCUAGGAUCGAUGUAAUGAUUAAUAGGGAUAGUUGGGGGCAUUAGUAUUCAAUUGUCAGAGGUGAAAUUCUUGGAUUUAUUGAAGACUAACUACUGCGAAAGCAUUUGCCAAGGAUGUUUUCAUUAAUCAAGGACGAAAGUUAGGGGAUCGAAGACGAUCAGAUACCGUCGUAGUCUUAACCAUAAACUAUGCCGACUAGGGAUCGGAUGAUGUUGAUUUUUUAAUGACUCAUUCGGCGCCUUACGGGAAAC